UGCGUUUGCUAUUGCAGGACUAACCUGUCUCUUUUUAUUUGUUUAGGGGAAGGAGACAUCAGCAGAUGGAGUCCAGACACUUGGGUGGUCAAGAGGUCCGAUUCCUCACCCCAGUCCGUCGGUCCGUGCGGAUCGAAAAGACUGCCCUCAGGUACCCUUCUAAUUUGCAAGAGGGCGAGUCCUGUGUGACCUCAUUCCGUGACCUGCCUGAAGAAGAGGAAGUGGGCGAAGGCAACCCUGUUUCCAGUAAAGCCCCUCUUUACAUCUACAGGGAAAACGAGGCUCUGAAAGAACAAGUCCACGUGAAGAUUAUUCACUUGGAAGACUGAAGUCUUCACCCGUCCACAAUUUUCUGUAUAUAAUUUAAUCCUAAAUAAACGUUUGUAAAUGCCUUUUCCACGUGACUCCUGUGUGAUUUAUGGGACUACCAGUUCGAUCCAGAUUGAAGCUGGAUGUGCCGACCUCCGCAAUUCCCAAUUAUUUUGCACGAUAUAACCUACGUGAAAAGCAGACGGGGACCGAUGUGUAUUAACCUGUCCGCGAACGGCAGUGGAACGAGGAGAAUUUCCUCACCCGACAAAUCCCACCCACCCACCCACCCUUCCCGGUCGACCGCCGCUGGGAUAUAAUACCAGAGACCUGCUGCAAAUUCCAGGAUCGUCCUCGGCCCCUCCAGCCGCGUCGCUCCGAGCUCGUCCGUGCGUCGCAGCGCGCCGCGUCCAUCAAGGCUUCUCUCGCAGAAACUAGUGCGGGGCUGCUGCUUCCAGAAACACCUAACCCUGCUGGAGCACAUGGCACGCUGGAAGCUGCAGGAAACAAAGAAGGCAUGUCUCGAAACAAUGAGUGGGACCUCUGCUGAUCUUAUGGACAAACAAGUCAUUUUUAAGACUUUUCGGAAAAAGCACAAUAAAUUCAAAGUAACAUUGUUUGAGUACGUGGAGAAGGGGAAGGAGAGUGGACAGGUCUUUGUGGCCUUUGGGUUUCUGAAAGGAGAACAAUACCAUGUCCCCGUAGUAAAGAAUGAAGCGGUUGAGGUGCAGCCAAUGGGGGUGGAGAAUGACCACAGUAACAGCGAGCAGCUUUUCACGUGGGGUAAAGGACCAUACGGUGUUCUGGAAUCAGUGUCCAAUCCAAAACUAUAUCUGGCCAUCAACCGGACUCGUAAACUGGUAGUUAGCCGCGAUAACAAAGAACCGUUCAUAAUCACAGUUCAGGCUGAUAACUCGUGAGCAAGCUGUUUGUUCUCUUAACUGCCACUUGACCAGUUCAGGGCUUUUGAAUAUCCAUCUCAUCAUUAACCAGUGACAUCACCACAGCAUAAUGCAGUACAAUUCACCAUGUAUGCUCCUGAUUUUAUUGCUUUUAAAAAUAAACAGUAUGAUAAUCUUCAGCAAUUACUCUGUUUAGCACAUGUCCUAACCUAUUUUUAUGAUCUAACUUAUAAAAUAAUACUCACAUACUGACCAGAGCCCCAUGUGGCAUAUAGGCAUAUAAUAAACACUACCAGAUUAAGUUUGGGCACUCCUACUCGGUAUCAGUUAUGGAGACCAAGAUGGAGCCAAUUCAAAAAAACAUUGCAAGAAACAUAUUUAGAAUUUUUGUAGCAGGAGAAAGGGAAGUGUGUUUAAUUAAUUUGCUUUGUUCACUAAUGUCAUAAUCAAAAGCCAAUUGAGCGGAUAAUAAGAAAAUGUUCAGGAUAAACCUUCAGGACUGUUGGAAACUGUCCCCGUGGUCUAACUCGUGUAGAGAAACCAAGAGUGUGAAAUGCUGCCAUCGCUGAAAAGCUUGAUGUGUUGGAGAGCCUCAAAUAUUCAAAUUUGUGCCUUGUUAUUUUUUGUUUAUUACAUAACCUUACAUGUGUAAUUUUGUAGUCCUGUGUCUUCAGUUUUGUUUCAUAAUAUAAAGAAUGCAAGACCCACAAAUGAGUAGGUGCAUCCAAACCUUUAACUUGUUGUAUAUCUACAUACAUUUUAAUAAUAUAUUGUUAUAUAGUUAUGGAGUUAUGUAUGUACUGUGCACUGUAUGCACAUCUUAAUGGAAAAUGUAUAAUGUAGUUUAUUUAUAAUCAAUAAAUUAACAUUUUUAUACGUUAUAUGGGCACUGUGAAAUGGCAGACUAGUGUUCUUACUGGACCACACAUGAGGGAUUCUUGGAGAUUUAUUUAAAACGACCAAGGUCAAAAUUCCAAAGGAUGUAAGUUUCAAUUCAAUGUACCUGCAUAGCAGCUCUUGCUCUGUGUCCCAUGUUUUUCUUUUCUUCAUAAAUCAUCACAUGAUUUUCUUUAAUUUCAGUGGUCUGUGGUGGAAUUCCUUCCUAGAUUAAUAAACGCAAAGAAAUCACCCAACCCAGCCAGGAUGCACUUGACAGUGUAUUUCUUGGUGCCAGUCCCUAGGCCGGCUAAAUGGGGAGGGAUGCAUCAAGAAGGCAUAAAACAUUUCUCAGGUCUAUUGUGCAUACAGCCAGACCGGCUGAUCUGCUGUGGAGAGGAGGAGUAGCACCCAAGCCCGGAGAAAGCACCCUGCGCUCUGCCUCUUUCUCAGUUCCGGCUGCGUUUCCAUCUUUCCUGCAUUAGUGCAGACUCUCUCUCUCUCUCUCUCUCUAUCACACACACACACACACACCACAGUAGACAGAUAUAUGAGUCGCAUGUGGGAAACAACCUCCUUAUCUUCUACAAUUCCUGAUAAUCAGAUGCGACCAUGAUAGCUGGGCCGUAGUUUUUUUUUUUGACACCACUGAAACCAUUUCUCAUGCACAUCUACCACAGGGAUGUUAGUACACUUGUGGCAAGUCACAGGUUCAAGCCCGACUUAUUACCAUUGUGUCCCUGAGCAAGACAGUCAACCUUGAGUGGCUCCAGGGGACUGUCCCUGUAACUACUGGUUUUAAAUUGAUCUAGAGAAGGGCAUCUGUGAAAUGCCAUGAAUGUAAAUUUCCUGUAGUUUAUAUUUUCAGGGAUUUUCUUUGGGAUUACCCAGCCCUUCUUUCAUUCAAGACACAGUUAACUUUGGAUAUAUAAAGCCAGUGAGAAAGGAAUGUGACAAAUGUCAGCCAAUCUUCUGAUCAGUCUUUGGAACCCCU
ensembl:lncRNA